CAAGAGAAAAGAAGGGUAAGGUGAGUCGUGCGGCGGACAGAGCAGGAGAGCUGACUGCUGCUAUUCUCCUCUCGGAGCGGAGAUCUGACCGGGGAAUGUCCGGGGAGAACGUCUCCUUUGCGUCUGUGUGCUGCAGACCUCCGUCAUUCAGAUCGUCCAUGUGUGCGUGAGAUAGUAACGAUCAAACCACGCACAGGUGAAGAAGAGUAUGUCAACAGACAACAAAUGUUCAUCUUCCUGCUGACUACUGCGCCUUAAACAAAGCGUCUUUUCCCGAAACUUUUCUGGAGCUCAAGGACUGACGUCAGACAGCAGGAGACGUUAAGGAUAAAAAAAAAACCUGUUGAAUGAGGUUCAGCAACCAUUUCCAGCUCUAUAGGGGCUCCCACUCUCCCUUCCGUCCGGGAGUCAUAUGACUGCACCUUGAGAUCCGAGUUUGGCCCACAUUCCAAGUGAAGUCCAGUGUCAAAGUUCACUUUACCGAGCGAGUCUCACCCCAUCUAGUGGUUUCAUUUAACAGAGGCAAGCACCAAAAGUAGAAUAACAUCAUUAAUCAUCAUUAUCAAUUUAAGAGAAUAGCAGAAAUAUAUAUGAUUAUUUUACUAUUUCAUUAUUGUUUUUAUUUUACAUUAUUUUAUAAAAUGGCUUUGGGUACAUGCAUAUGGCAGACAUUUUGGCAAGAACACAAGUUUAUUUUUUUGAAUUUUCGAAGUUCAACCUCAGCUCCAACAAUAAAUAGCCUAUAUAAUUAGCCACCAUUAAACCACACUGUUUGUUCCUUAAACCUACAGCUUAAAGCAAGCAUUCGGUGGUAUGUGGUUUCAAAUGUGUAGUUUGGUCUAUUUUCCACCAGGUUGAGCCACUUCUUUGCACUCUCAUUUGCUUGUCAGUUGUUGAUGUUAUUAUUUAGUGCACAAAUGGACUCAUGGACUUCUUAAUCAGAGUUGACGGUAUAAUCUGUCAUAAUGUGUUGUACAGAAAACAAUGUUGAGGCAAAUGAUUGUGUCAUGAGUGAUUCUGGGCUUAAAUUGAUUUGACUGAUUAAAUGGCCUUUGGCGACCUUUUGCCUUUUGCAACUAUGAUAUCCCAUAAUUCGUAAUCUCGACAGAUUCAAAAGCAGUUUACUAUUCUUGACCACAAAAGACACACAUGGGCAACACCAGUAAAAGCUUAAAAUAUAUGUUCUUAAUCAUGACAUUUUAUACAUGGAAAGUUUUAAUGACCACUGUAAUUACCCUGUGUGUUAUUAUUACCUGUGUUUUUAGUGCUUCAUUUUUUAAAUGUAUGUGUAGUAGAAGUUUAACAGUAAUCAGAAGUGAGUGCUGAUUUGAGGCUUAGAUUGCUUGAUUAUAUUUAAUAAGGUAUUGAAAGUCAUAACUUGGUCAGCGUCCACUUUUCAGCCCCAACUUCCUUUUUUCUUCAACUCACACUGAAACAGGAAACACCCCCCCAAUUUCACACUAAUAUUUAGAUGUAAGGUGUUUUUCAAAAGCACAAAAAGCCCUACAAUCUUCUGAGUACUUCUUGCAGUGAGUAUUUACUUGAUACAAAACACAGGCAGUUUAACUUCACAGCUUUGUAGCAUGUAGGCUUCCAGAUGAGAUAGAACUCAGGUCACUGUUAAGUGUCAGAAUUAGGUUAGAGCGUCUUUCUUCGGUCUGAUGAAGCUGCUGGGCCUGAUUCCACUUAGCCUCAUACUGAUGCUGGCCUCAGAAGGUCACACAGCUCAAACAUGGAAUGCUUCUGUCACCAGAAACAUUAAAGCAACAUUUGGCUCAAAUGUGAUCAUAAAGUGUAGCUUUACCGUUCCAAAAGAAUACUCUACUGGAAAUGUUCAAGUUUACUGGAAAAAGUUUGAGAGAAGUAACUUUAAGAGGGACAAAGACCCAGAUGCAUAUGUUUUUCACCCGAAUGAAACAUAUGUGAAUAAGGAGUACAAAGGAAAGACCAUGCUCCUUGGAAAUAAAACCGAGGGAAACUGCUCCCUCAUGAUCUUUAACUUCACGGAUGGAACACUUCACAUCUAUUUGAGAGUUACUGAAAAGAAGGAGAUGUUCAGUUUCAGAGGUAACUCUGUCCAAAUAACUGAGUCUGAUAUUACACAACCACUACCAACCGAGAUUUCAAAACAAUAUUCCACAAUGACUACAGUCCAUGAGACUUCUACAACAAUGUAUACAGCCAUCUUUGUACCGGUUGCUGCACUUCUGAUCAUUAUUUUUGUGGCUGGAAUUGUCUUUUACUUAAAACGCACAAGCAGGUCACAACCUUUGACAAGGGAAGAGUCUGGAUAUUAUGCCAAUUGUAGCCGAGUAUCGUCAAACCAAGGCAAAAGAAAAGCAUCUAGCAAGAACCAAGAAAAAGAGAACACUUCUGAACUGAAGGCCAUUGAUGAACCUGUCUACAUCAACAUCGAGGCCCCUCCAGAUCAGAUGGGUCAACAAAUGAAUCACACCGAAAAUAUUUAUGGUAAUGUGGAUUAUUCAUAAUAGAAGAUAAACUGCAUCUCACAUGUUCAUGGUCUGUAUUUAUUUAAAGAACGUUGUGGCUGUUGGAAACAACUUAAAUCAUUCCGAAAACCAGGAUUAUAGAGAUUGUGGACAUACUGGUUAAAAUCUGAUGGCCUAAGGUUUCAACAAUAAAUAAAUUUAUCAUGAAGAGAAUAACAAAUACAACAAAAUCAACUACAAAGAAUUACAAAUCUACAGAGCGACCUGUCUUGGUGCUAUAGGUGCUUGGCUUCUGUGUCCUGGGGUAUAUUUUCCAGGGUUUAUGGUUCGUUUGGGUUUCAUACAACAGCAGCCAUUUAUUUAUUCCAUUUCAUUUUACAAUCCUUAAAAUUGUUUAUUUGGCUUUUUUUUAUUACACUGUAUAUGUAACCAUUGACAAUCUACCUUUUAUAAUUGCUCAGAGCCAUAGUUUUAAUUCAAGUUUAUUUUAGUUGUUAAACUCGUUAUUAAUUCUGUAAUUUACACAUUACAGACUUGUCCAGUGCAGCCUGCAAAUCUUUUGCUAACCUUAACAUUUGGUAUUUGAUAUACCUUAACCAUAGCUUAUUUGCCAUAAACAUGAUCCUUUGUUUGUUUUAACAGGGUUACCAGAUAGUCUAUAUUUUUUGAAGUUUAGCAUCAUUACAAUUGAACAUUAGAAACAAAAAAUGCUAGUGAGUGAUAAAGGAAAUGAAACGAAUAAUUUAGCACAUGUUGAGAAACAUCCCGUGACCGAAGUUCUGUUUUCUGAGCAAUCUGUUCAUGUAAUAUUCUGCUUAACUUUAGAUUGUACAGUUUUCAAAAAUGUGGGUUUAAUGAAACCAUUGUGCGGUUUUUCAGUCUUUCUCAAUGUGUUUGGCAACUCACGUCCUGUAUCCUCUCUGCUGCAAUUGAAACUUCUGUUUUCUUUCAUAAGGGUGAUUAAGUUAUUAUACGUAAUGCCAGAGUUAAGUUUUCCUCUAUUUAAUUACUGAACAACAGCAGCCAACUACCCUGCAUAAAACCCUGUCGUAAAUAAAGUGGAUUUAAGACAAGCUA